AAUGAACGCUGGCGGCGUGCCUAACACAUGCAAGUCGCACGAGAAAGUCCCAGCUUGCUGGGGCUAGUAAAGUGGCGCACGGGUGAGUAACGCGUGGGUAAUCUACCUCCGAAUUGGGGAUAACAUUGCGAAAGCGGUGCUAAUACCGAAUGACAUCCCCGGGACUCCGGUCUUGGUGAUCAAAGGUGCCCUCUACAUGUAAGCUAUCGUUUGGAGAUGAGCCCGCGUACCAUUAGCUAGUUGGUAGGGUAAUGGCCUACCAAGGCUGCGAUGGUUAGCUGGUCUGAGAGGAUGAUCAGCCACACUGGAACUGACACACGGUCCAGACUCCUACGGGAGGCAGCAGUGAGGAAUUUUGCGCAAUGGGGGAAACCCUGAUCCAGCGACGCCGCGUGAAGGAUGAAGGUCUUCGGAUUGUAAACUUCUUUUAUUUGGGACUAAGAAACUUGGGGAAACUCAGGGAGUGAAUGUACCAAGUGAAUAAGCCACGGCUAACUUCGUGCCAGCCGCCGCCGUAAGAC
rnacentral:rRNA from 1 species